rnacentral:rRNA from 1 species
GCUGCUGUUAAAAAGCUCGUAGUUGGAUCAGAGUUCGACAGUGCACGGUGGCCCUGUUUGUCACAGUGGUUCCGAUCAUUGUGGCGGCAGCGGAUAAACCCCGUGCGCCAAACUGAAGACUCUAACAGACCCAAGCGGUUCCCUGUGAGUAGGCUCCUUCAUUGGGGCUGAAAGCGCUUACGCAACAACCAUAUGCAUACGGGACGUGGGUCAACGUUACUGUGAAUGUUCGAGCAUGGAAUAACAAAUGAUCGAUUCUCUCGGUUCUUUUUUGUUGGUUUUUAACCCGAGAAGGAGCAAUUCAGGCCACGGUGUCUGAGUUGGGUUUCCCUUCACCUCGGUGGAGGCCCCAAUUAGGCCGUGUCCUUACGGGAUCAAUAGGGACUGACGGGGUCGUACGUACUUCCACGUCAGAGGUGAAAUUCUUAGAU